rnacentral:rRNA from 1 species
UACGUAGGGUGCAGGCGUUAAUCGGAAUUACUGGGCGUAAAGCGUGCGCAGGCGGUUUUGUAAGUCCGUUGUGAAAGCCCCGGGCUUAACCUGGGAAUGGCAGUGGAAACUAGGAGACUUGAAUCUGGCAGAGGGGGGUGGAAUGCCACGUGUAGCAGUGAAAUGCGUAGAGAUGUGGCGGAACACCGAUGGCGAAGGCAGCCCCCUGGGUCAAGAUUGACGCUCAGGCACGAAAGCGUGGGGAGCAAACAGG